GUUACUCUCAUGCUACAGUAGGUUACUCUCCCAUGCUACAGUAGGUUACUCUCCCAUGCUACAGUAGGUUACUCUCUCCCAUGCUACUGUAGGUUACUCUCCCAUGCUACUGUAGGUUACUCUCUCAUGCUACUGUAGGUUACUCUCCCAUGCUACUGUAGGUUACUCUCCCAUGCUACUGUAGGUUACUCUCCCAAGCUACUGUAGGUUACUCUCCCAUGCUACUGUAGGUUACUCUCCCAUGCUACUGUAGGUUACUCUCCCAUGCUACUGUAGGUUACUCUCCCAAGCUACUGUAGGUUACUCUCCCAUGCUACUGUAGGUUACUCUCCCAUGCUACUGUAGGUUACUCUCCCAUGCUACUGUAGGUUACUCUCAUGCUACAGUAGGUUACUCUCCCAUGCUACAGUAGGUUACUCUCCCAUGCUACAGUAGGUUACUCUCUCCCAUGCUACUGUAGGUUACUCUCCCAUGCUACUGUAG
rnacentral:lncRNA from 1 species